rnacentral:misc_RNA from 1 species
GACAGAGGGUGCAAGCGUUGUUCGGAAUCAUUGGGCGUAAAGCGCGCGUAGGCGGUUAUGUAUGUCGGGUGUGAAAGCCCAGAGCUCAACUCUGGAAGUACAUCCGAAACUGCAUGACUUGAGUCCCGGAGAGGGUGGUAGAAUUCCUGGUGUAGAGGUGAAAUUCGUAGAUAUCAGGAGGAAUACCGGUGGCGAAGGCGACCACCUGGACGGUGACUGACGCUGAGGUGCGAAGGCGUGGGGAGCAAACAGG